UUUGUACUCCCUCCGUCCCAACAUUCUUGUCUUAAAUUUGUCUAAAUACGAAUGUAUCUAGUUACAUUUUAGUGUUAGAUACAUCCGUAUCUAAACAAAUGUAAGACAAGAAUUUUGGGAUGGAGGGAAUACUAC
rnacentral:pre_miRNA from 1 species